AGAUUGAACGCUGGCGGCAUGCCUAACACAUGCAAGUCGAACGGGAGUAGCAAUACUCUAGUGGCGGACGGGUGAGGAAUACGUAGGAAUUUGCCCUUAAGUGGGGGAUAACCCGGGGAAACCCGGAUUAAUACCGCAUGACCUCGAAAGAGCAAAGUGGGGGAUCGCAAGACCUCACGCUUUUGGAGAAGCCUACGUCGGAUUAGCUAGUUGGUGAGGUAAUGGCUCACCAAGGCGACGAUCCGUAACUGGUCUGAGAGGAUGAUCAGUCACACCAGAACUGAGACACGGUCCGGACUCCUAGGGAGCAGCAGGUGGGAAUAUUGGACAAGUGGG
rnacentral:rRNA from 1 species